UGGUGCCAGCAGCCGCGGUAAUUCCAGCUCCAAUAGCGUAUAUUAAAAUUGUNGCAGUUAAAAAGCUYGUAGKUGAAGUUNUGCUAAAAGUAACCGGUSUGCUUUUAAUAAAAGUGGUAUCUUGGUGUGUAUUUAGCAAUGAUGUCCUUUGAAGUGUUUUUUACUUUAUUGUAAUAAAGCAUAUUCAGGACUUUUACUUUGAGAAAAUUAGAGUGUUUCUAGCAGGCCGACGCUUUGAAUASUGCAGCAKGGAAUAAUAAGAUAGGAUUUUAGUUCUACAUUAUUGGUUUUAAGAGCUAAAUUAAUGAUUGAUAGGGACAGUUGGGGGCAUUUGUAUUUAASUGUCAGAGGUGAAAUUCUUAGAUKUGUUAAAGACAAAMUASUGCGAAA
rnacentral:rRNA from 1 species